rnacentral:rRNA from 1 species
GACGAACGCUGGCGGCGUGCUUAACACAUGCAAGUCGAACGGAAAGGCCCUGCUUUUGUGGGGUGCUCGAGUGGCGAACGGGUGAGUAACACGUGAGUAACCUGCCCUUGACUUUGGGAUAACUUCAGGAGACUGGGGCUAAUACCGGAUAGGAGCUCCUGCUGCAUGGUGGUGGUUGGAAAGUUUCGGCGGUUGGGGCUGGACUCGCGGCUUAUCCGCUUGUUGGUGGGGUAGUGGCUUACCAAGGCUUUGACGGGUAGCCGGCCUGAGAGGGUGACCGGCCACAUGGGGCCUGCGAUACGGACCAGACUCCUACGGGAGGCAGCAGGGGGGAAUAUUGCACAAUGGGCCGAAGCCUGAUGCAGCAACGCCGCGUGCGGGAUGACGGCCUUCGGGUUGUAAACCGCUUUCGCCUGUGCCGAAGCGUGAGUGACGGUAAUGGGUAAAGAAGCACCGGCUAACUACGUG